rnacentral:rRNA from 1 species
GAUGAACGCUGGCGGCGUGCCUAAUACAUGCAAGUCGAGCGAACGGACGAGAAGCUUGCUUCUCUGAUGUUAGCGGCGGACGGGUGAGUAACACGUGGAUAACCUACCUAUAAGACUGGGAUAACUUCGGGAAACCGGAGCUAAUACCGGAUAAUAUUUUGAACCGCAUGGUUCAAAAGUGAAAGACGGUCUUGCUGUCACUUAUAGAUGGAUCCGCGCUGCAUUAGCUAGUUGGUAAGGUAACGGCUUACCAAGGCAACGAUGCAUAGCCGACCUGAGAGGGUGAUCGGCCACACUGGAACUGAGACACGGUCCAGACUCCUACGGGAGGCAGCAGUAGGGAAUCUUCCGCAAUGGGCGAAAGCCUGACGGAGCAACGCCGCGUGAGUGAUGAAGGUCUUCGGAUCGUAAAACUCUGUUAUUAGGGAAGAACAUAUGUGUAAGUAACUGUGCACAUCUUGACGGUACCUAAUCAGAAAGCCACGGCUAACUACGUGCCAGCAGCCGCGGUAAUACGUAGGUGGCAAGCGUUAUCCGGAAUUAUUGGGCGUAAAGCGCGCGUAGGCGGUUUUUUAAGUCUGAUGUGAAAGCCCACGGCUCAACCGUGGAGGGUCAUUGGAAACUGGAAAACUUGAGUGCAGAAGAGGAAAAUGGAAUUCCAUGUGUAGCGGUGAAAUGCGCAGAGAUAUGGAGGAACACCAGUGGCGAAGGCGACUUUCUGGUCUGUAACUGACGCUGAUGUGCGAAAGCGUGGGGAUCAAACAGGAUUAGAUACCCUGGUAGUCCACGCCGUAAACGAUGAGUGCUAAGUGUUAGGGGGUUUCCGCCCCUUAGUGCUGCAGCUAACGCAUUAAGCACUCCGCCUGGGGAGUACGACCGCAAGGUUGAAACUCAAAGGAAUUGACGGGGACCCGCACAAGCGGUGGAGCAUGUGGUUUAAUUCGAAGCAACGCGAAGAACCUUACCAAAUCUUGACAUCCUUUGACAACUCUAGAGAUAGAGCCUUCCCCUUCGGGGGACAAAGUGACAGGUGGUGCAUGGUUGUCGUCAGCUCGUGUCGUGAGAUGUUGGGUUAAGUCCCGCAACGAGCGCAACCCUUAAGCUUAGUUGCCAUCAUUAAGUUGGGCACUCUAAGUUGACUGCCGGUGACAAACCGGAGGAAGGUGGGGAUGACGUCAAAUCAUCAUGCCCCUUAUGAUUUGGGCUACACACGUGCUACAAUGGACAAUACAAAGGGCAGCGAAACCGCGAGGUCAAGCAAAUCCCAUAAAGUUGUUCUCAGUUCGGAUUGUAGUCUGCAACUCGACUACAUGAAGCUGGAAUCGCUAGUAACCGUAGAUCAGCAUGCUACGGUGAAUACGUUCCCGGGUCU